rnacentral:rRNA from 1 species
UACGAAGGGGGCUAGCGUUGCUCGGAAUCACUGGGCGUAAAGCGCACGUAGGCGGAUCUUUAAGUCAGGGGUGAAAUCCUGGAGCUCAACUCCAGAACUGCCUUUGAUACUGGGGAUCUCGAGUCCGGAAGAGGUGAGUGGAACUCCGAGUGUAGAGGUGAAAUUCGUAGAAAUUCGGAAGAACACCAGUGGCGGAGGCGGCUCACUGGUCCGGUACUGACGCUGAGGUGCGAAAGCGUGGGGAGCAAACAGG